GACGAACGCUGGCGGCGUGCUUAACACAUGCAAGUCGAACGGAAAGGCCUGCUUUCCCUUGUGGAUUGCGGGUACUCGAGUGGCGAACGGGUGAGUAACACGUGAGUGAUCUGCCCCCAACUUGGGUAUAAUCCUGGGAAACUGGGUCUAAUUCCCGAUAGGACUGCAGGGUGGUGCCUGUGGUGGAAAACGAUUUUCUAGUGGUUGGGGAUGAGCUCGCGGCCUAUCAGCUUGUUGGUAGGGUAAUGGCCUACCAAGGCGGCGACGGGUAGCCGGCCUGGGAGGGUGGACGGCCACAUUGGGACUGAGAUACGGCCCAGACUCCUACGGGAGGCAGCAGUGGGGAAUAUUGCACAAUGGGCGGAAGCCUGAUGCAGCGACGCCGCGUGGGGGAUGACGGCCUUCGGGUUGUAAACUCCUUUCGACCGCGAGGAAGCCACCUGGUUGGAAGGGUGGUGACGGUAGUGGUAGAAGAAGCACCGGCUAACUACGUG
rnacentral:rRNA from 1 species